rnacentral:lncRNA from 1 species
CUAAACUAUUAGCUUAGUUCUGUAAAUGUUCUCCAGUUCCAGGUUGGAGAAUGAUUCAAGCUAGCAAAAAUCAUGAGGAGGUUGGAAAGCUCCAAUGAAACCAUGGUCAGUGGGUGAGAUUUGAUUAAGUGAAACAAAGCCCCAGCUGCUGGAGCAGAGGUUCCACUCGGGUUCCACAGACACCCACAGCCCAAAUCCCUGGAGGUCAGUGGGGCUCACAGUGAGUGUGGGGAUGCUUCUAAUAGUGGGUGUGCUCAGCUGGGAGUGCAGAAGUCUGCGUCUUAGCUGUCUUAAUGUGAAUGUGGGGUCUUGUGACAGGGUCUCUUCUGUA